rnacentral:rRNA from 1 species
GGUUCUGCUAUCACUCUUGGAUGGGACCUGCGGUGCAUUAGCUAGUUGGGUAGGGGUAAACGGGCCUACCAAGGCGAUGAUGCAUAGCCCGAGUUGAGAGACUGAUCGGCCACAUUGGGACUGAGACACGGCCCAAACUCCGUACGGGAGGCAGCAGUAGGGAAUCUUCCACAAUGGACGCAAGUCUGAUGGAGCAACGCCGCGUGAGUGAAGUAAGGGUUUCGGCUCGUAAAGCUCUGUUGUUGGUGAAGAAGGACAGGGGGUAGUAACUGACCUUUGUUUGACGGUAAUCAAUUAGAAAGUCACGGGCUAACUACGUGCCAGCAGCCGCGGUAAAU